GGCCCCAUAGCUCAGUGGUUAGAGCAUUGGUCUGGCAAACCGAUUGUGAGUUCAUAUCUCGCUGGGGCCU